UCUAGAGGCUUCGUCAAUGGGGGCAACCCUGAACGAGCGACGCCGCGUGCGGGAUGAAGGGCUUCGGCUUGUAAACCGCUUUUUUUCGGGACGAAGGCUUGGGUCGUGCACCUGAGAUUGACGGUACCGGAAGAAUAAGCCCCGGCUAACUCCGUGCCAGCAGCCGCGGUAAGACGGAGGGGGCAAGCGUUGUUCGGAAUUAUUGGGCGUAAAGGGCGCGUAGGCGGACUAUUAAGUCUGGCGUGAAAUCUCCACCGCUCACCGGGGAGGGGCCGCUGGAAACUGAUAGUCUGGAGUUCGGCAGAGGGUCAUGGAAUUCCGCAUGUAGCGGUGGAAUGCGUAGAUAUGCGGAAGAACACCGGUGGCGAAGGCGGUGGCCUGGGCCGAAACUGACGCUGAGGCGCGAAAGCCAGGGGAGCAAACGGG
rnacentral:rRNA from 1 species